CGGGGCGUGGCGCAGUCCGGUUAGCGCACCUGCUUUGGGAGCAGGAGGUCGCCGGUUCAAAUCCGGCCGCCCCGACCG
rnacentral:tRNA from 1 species